rnacentral:lncRNA from 1 species
UCGCACAAGGAUGACCCUCACACAAGGACCUUGCACGAGGACCUUGCACAAGGACCUCAUACAAGGAUCUCGCUCGUACAAUCGUGGAGCCUUGCACAAGAAUGAGCCUUGCACGAGGACCUUGCACGAGGACCUUGCACAAGGGCCUUGCACGAGGACCUCACCCCAGAGCCUUGCACGAGGACCUCGCACGGCGGGAUUUGGGGGGUGAGGGGGCACAACACGGUACAGGAGCGGUUCAUGUUUUGGGGUGCCGUUUUGGGGUGUGUGUUUUGGGAUGCCAGUUUCAUGAUGCAGGUUUUGGGGUGCCAGUUUUGGGGUUUGUGUUUUGGGGGAGAGGUUUUGGGGUGCCGGUUUCGGGGUGCUGGUUUUGGGGUGCCAGUUUUAGGGUGAGUGUUUUGGGGUGGGUGUUUUGGGGUGCCAGUUUUGGGGAGCAUGAUUUGGGGUGCCAGUUUCGGGAUGCCAGUUUUGGGGUUCAGGUUUUGGGGUGCCAGUUUUGGGGUUUGUGUUUUGGGGUGCAUGUUUUGGGGUGCUGGUUUUGGGGUGCCAGUUUUAGGGUGAGUGUUUUGGGGUGGGUGUUUUGGGGUGCCAGUUUUGGGGAGCAUGAUUUGGGGUGCCAGUUUCGGGAUGCCAGUUUUGGGGUUCAGGUUUUGGGGUGCCAGUUUUGGGGGUUGUGUUUUGGGGUUUGUGUUUUGGGGUGCCGGUUUCGGGGUGCCGUUUUCGGGGUGCCGGUUUCGGGGUGCCAGUUUCGGGGUGGAUGUUUUGGGGUGCCGUUUUGGGGUGCCGGUUUCGGGGUGCCAUUUCAGGGUGCCGGUUUUAGGGUUUGUGUUUUGGGGUGCAGGUUUUGUGGUGCCAUUUGGGGGUGCCGGUUUCGGGGUGCCGGUUUCGGGAUGCCGUUUUUGGGGUGCCGUUUUUGGGGUGCCGUUUUGGGGUGCAGGGCUCACCCUGCGCAUGAUGCCGAUGGCGGGGCAGCUGAGGAAGCGGGGGUAGCGAACCUCCUCGUUGACGAUGCUGUCGAACACCUCCUCCUCCUCGUCCCCCGGGAACGGCGACUGCGGGCGGCCACGCCAUGGGACCCCCCCCGGACCCC